UACGAAGGGGGCGAGCGUUGUUCGGAAUUACUGGGCGUAAAGCGUGCGCAGGCGGCUAUGCAAGACAGAUGUGAAAUCCCCGGGCUCAACCUGGGAACUGCAUUUGUGACUGCAUGGCUAGAGUACGGUAGAGGGGGAUGGAAUUCCGCGUGUAGCAGUGAAAUGCGUAGAUAUGCGGAGGAACACCGAUGGCGAAGGCAAUCCCCUGGACCUGUACUGACGCUCAUGCACGAAAGCGUGGGGAGCAAACAGG
rnacentral:rRNA from 1 species